rnacentral:rRNA from 1 species
GACGAACGCUGGCGGCGUGCCUAAUACAUGCAAGUAGAACGCUGAAGGAGGAGCUUGCUCUUCUGGAUGAGUUGCGAACGGGUGAGUAGCGCGUAGGUAACCUGCCUGGUAGCGGGGGAUAACUAUUGGAAACGAUAGCUAAUACCGCAUAAGAGUAGAUGUUGCAUGACAUUUGCUUAAAAGGUGCAAUUGCAUCACUACCAGAUGGACCUGCGUUGUAUUAGCUAGUUGGUGGGGUAACGGCUCACCAAGGCGACGAUACAUAGCCGACCUGAGAGGGUGAUCGGCCACACUGGGACUGAGACACGGCCCAGACUCCUACGGGAGGCAGCAGUAGGGAAUCUUCGGCAAUGGACGGAAGUCUGACCGAGCAACGCCGCGUGAGUGAAGAAGGGUGUCGGAUCGUAAAGCUCUGUUGUAAGAGAAGAACGAGUGUGAGAGUGGAAAGUUCACACUGUGACGGUAUCUUACCAGAAAGGGACGGCUAACUACGUG